GACGAACGCUGGCGGCGUGCUUAACACAUGCAAGUCGAACGGAAAGGCCCUGCUUUUGUGGGGUGCUCGAGUGGCGAACGGGUGAGUAACACGUGAGUAACCUGCCCUUGACUUUGGGAUAACUUCAAGAAACUGGGGCUAAUACCGGAUAGGAGCUCCUGCUGCAUGGUGGGGGUUGGAAAGUUUCGGCGGUUGGGGAUGGACUCGCGGCUUAUCAGCUUGUUGGUGGGGUAGUGGCUUACCAAGGCUUUGACGGGUAGCCGGCCUGAGAGGGUGACCGGCCACAUUGGGACUGAGAUACGGCCCAGACUCCUACGGGAGGCAGCAGGGGGGAAUAUUGCACAAUGGGCGGAAGCCUGAUGCAGCAACGCCGCGUGCGGGAUGACGGCCUUCGGGUUGUAAACCGCUUUCGCCUGUGACGAAGCGUGAGUGACGGUAAUGGGUAAAGAAGCACCGGCUAACUACGUG
rnacentral:rRNA from 1 species